rnacentral:rRNA from 1 species
GCCUGAUGCAGCGACGCCGCGUGAGGGAUGAAGGCCUUCGGGUUGUAAACCUCUUUCAGCAGGGAAGAAGCGCAAGUGACGGUACCUGCAGAAGAAGCGCCGGCUAACUACGUGCCAGCAGCCGCGGUAAU